rnacentral:tRNA from 1 species
UGCGGUGUGGCUCAGUAGUAGAGCGCUUGCCUGGCAUGCAUGAGACCUGGACUCCAGCUUUAGCACCACAA